rnacentral:rRNA from 1 species
UACGGGGGGAGCAAGCGUUGUUCGGAUUUACUGGGCGUAAAGGGUGUGUAGGCGGUUGUUUAAGUUUGGUGUGAAAUCUCCCGGCUCAACUGGGAGGGUGCGCCGAAUACUGAGCGACUAGAGUGCGGGAGAGGAAAGUGGAAUUCCUGGUGUAGCGGUGAAAUGCGUAGAUAUCAGGAGGAACACCUGUGGUGUAGACGGCUCUCUGGACCGCAACUGACGCUGAGACACGAAAGCGUGGGUAGCAAACAGG